CCGAGUGAGGGCUCCUUCGUGAGCCCAACCUCCCACCCGUGUUUUAAACAUACCCUGUUGCUUCGGCGGGCCCACUGGGCUUCGGUCCGGUCGCCGGGGGGCCUCUGUGCCCUCGGGUCCGCGCCCGCCGAUGCGCCUCAUGAACCCUGAUGAAUAUGGGCUGUCUGAGUUAUAAAUGAAAAUUGUCA
rnacentral:misc_RNA from 2 species